rnacentral:misc_RNA from 1 species
CAUUAAACAGCCCAACUUUCCAGUUUCCAUCGCCUCGCCGGUACCAACUACCAAGUGUGCAGCAUUUUACGGUUAACCCUAAAUUCGAUUCAGAUUUUUUACUCUCUAAUUUCUGAGUUUGCUCCAAUUUUUAAAUUUCUUUGCUUCUGCAUAUCUAAUCUACCAAUAUUAAUGAACGUGUGCAAGACCAAUGUCAUUUUCUGAGGCCGAGCUGUCUCUUUCUUGCGUUUGAUCAGUUCUCUGUUCCCUCUGGGCUAAUCGUGCAUGAACCGGAAUUCAAAAUGAGUAUAGUGCCCAAGGAAGCAAUCGAAGUAACGAGUAUAGUGCCCAAGGAAGCAAUCGAAGUAAC